rnacentral:rRNA from 1 species
GAUGAACGCUAGCGGCAGGCUUAACACAUGCAAGUCGAGGGGCAGCGCGGGAUAGCAAUAUCCUGGCGGCGACCGGCGGAAGGGUGCGUAACGCGUGAGCGACAUGCCCGUUGCCCGGGGACAACUGGUGGAAACGCCGACUAAUCCCCGAUGGGAUACGAUGCUUCAUGGCAUUGUAUUGAAAGUUACGGCGGCGACGGAUUGGCUCGCGUCCGAUUAGCUGGUUGGCGGGGUAACGGCCCACCAAGGCUGCGAUCGGUAGGGGUUCUGAGAGGAAGGCCCCCCACAAUGGGACUGAGACACGGCCCAUACUCCUACGGGAGGCAGCAGUGAGGAAUAUUGGUCAAUGGGCGGAAGCCUGAACCAGCCAUGCCGCGUGCGGGAAGGAGGCCCUAUGGGCUGUGAACCGCUUUUGCCUGGGGGCAAUAAGGGCGUCGCGCACGUCCGAUGAGAGUACCAGGCGAAUAAGCAUCGGCUAACUCCGUG